UACGGGGGGGGCAAGCGUUGUUCGGAAUUACUGGGCGUAAAGGGCUCGUAGGCGGCCAAGUAAGUCAGACGUGAAAUCCCUCGGCUUAACCGGGGAACUGCGUCUGAUACUGGAUGGCUUGAGUUUGGGAGAGGGAUGCGGAAUUCCAGGUGUAGCGGUGAAAUGCGUAGAUAUCUGGAGGAACACCGGUGGCGAAAGCGGCAUCCUGGACCAACACUGACGCUGAUGAGCGAAAGCCAGGGGAGCAAACGGG
rnacentral:rRNA from 1 species